GGAACGUUCCCCCCGUGAGAGGAGGAGGAUUUGUACUGGAUCCAUUAGAUCGGUCUGUUCUGCAGUCACAGUCGGUUGCAGAAAGGAGAAAUGCAGGUAAAUCCAAACUGUAGCAGGAAAACCGGCCAAGCUAGGCACAGUCAAUCCUCAACCUUGGCCGAAACUUCUGCCCAUUACAGUAGGACUCAAAUGCAAACCAUCUUUUAUCCGGCCUCUUUAUCAGUUUUCAGCUGACUGAUUGGAUCAAAAGUACAGAAAAUGUCUCAAUUUAUUUCUGAAAAGCCAAAGCACAUACUCUGCUUUUUUAUGAUGGAUGGUGCCGCAGAAGAGGUUCAGCUCCAGGAAGGCACGAGGUGCUGUGAUUAACGAUGCUGCA